rnacentral:rRNA from 1 species
GACGAACGCUGGCGGCGUGCUUAACACAUGCAAGUCGAACGGAGUUACGUAUGAAGUAUUUCGGUACGGACUAUGUAACUUAGUGGCGAACGGGUGAGUAACACGUGGGCAACCUGCCCUUAACCGGGGGAUAACAUUGUGAAAACAGUGCUAAUACCGCAUAACAGAGUAUCGGGCAUCCGAUAUUUUUAAAAGGAGCAAUCCGGUUUAGGAUGGGCCCGCGUCCAAUUAGCUAGUUGGUGAGGUAACGGCUCACCAAGGCUACGAUUGGUAGCCGAACUGAGAGGUUGAUCGGCCACAUUGGGACUAGGACACGGCCCAGACUCCUACGGGAGGCAGCAGUGGGGAAUAUUGGGCAAUGGGCGAAAGCCUGACCCAGCGACGCCGCGUGAAGGAUGAAGGUCUUCGGAUUGUAAACUUCUUUGAUCAGGGAAGAAAGAAAUGACGGUACCUGAAGAACAAGCCACGGCUAACUACGUG